rnacentral:rRNA from 1 species
ACGGAAGGCAGCAGUGGGGAAUAUUGCACAAUGGGGGAAACCCUGAUGCAGCGACGCCGCGUGAAGGAAGGGGUAUCUCGGUAUGUAAACUUCUAUCAGCAGGGAAGAAAGUGACGGUACCUGACUAAGAAGCCCCGGCUAACUACGUGCCAGCAGCCGCGGUAAUACGUAGGGGGCAAGCGUUAUCCGGAUUUACUGGGUGUAAAGGGAGCGUAGACGGCAAGACAAGUCUGAAGUGAAAGGCAUGGGCUCAACCUGUGGACUGCUUUGGAAACUGCCUUGCUUGAGUGCCGGAGGGGUAAGCGGAAUUCCUAGUGUAGCGGUGAAAUGCGUAGAUAUUAGGAGGAACACCAGUGGCGAAGGCGGCUUACUGGACGGUAACUGACGCUGAGGCGCGAAAGCGUGGGGAGCAAACAGGAUUAGAUACCCUGGUA